rnacentral:rRNA from 1 species
UACGUAGGGGGCAAGCGUUGUUCGGAUUCACUGGGCGUAAAGGGUGCGUAGGUGGCCAGGUAAGUUUGGUGUGAAAGCUCGGAGCUUAACUCCGAAAAGUCAUUGAAUACUAUCUGGCUGGAGGGUCGGAGGGGAGACUGGAAUUCUCGGUGUAGCAGUGAAAUGCGUAGAUAUCGAGAGGAACACCAGUGGCGAAGGCGAGUCUCUGGACGACUCCUGACACUGAGGCACGAAAGCUAGGGGAGCAAACAGG